rnacentral:tRNA from 1 species
AGGAGCUUAGCUCAGUUGGUAGAGCAUCGGUCUCCAAAACCGAGGGCCGUGGGUUCGAGUCCCCCAGCUCCUG